rnacentral:rRNA from 1 species
CACGUAGUUAGCCGGCGCUUCUUCUGCAGGUACCGUCACUUGCGCUUCUUCCCUGCUGAAAGAGGUUUACAACCCGAAGGCCGUCAUCCCUCACGCGGCGUCGCUGCAUCAGGCUUUCGCCCAUUGUGCAAUAUUCCCCACUGCUGCCUCCCGUAGGAGUCUGGGCCGUGUCUCAGUCCCAGUGUGGCCGGUCGCCCUCUCAGGCCGGCUACCCGUCGACGCCUUGGUAGGCCGUUACCCCACCAACAAGCUGAUAGGCCGCGAGCCCAUCCCUCACCGAAAAACUUUCCAACACCCACCAUGCGAUGAGCGCUCAUAUCCGGUAUUAGACCCCGUUUCCAAGGCUUAUCCCGAAGUGAAGGGCAGGUUGCUCACGUGUUACUCACCCGUUCGCCACUGAUCCACCCAGCAAGCUGGGCUUCACCGUUCGACUUGCAUGUGUUAAGCACGCCGCCAGCGUCGUCCUCGUAGCCACGGAGUCAACUAC